rnacentral:rRNA from 2 species
AAAACGACUCUCGGCAACGGAUAUCUCGGCUCUCGCAUCGAUGAAGAACGUAGCGAAAUGCGAUACUUGGUGUGAAUUGCAGAAUCCCGUGAACCAUCGAGUCUUUGAACGCAAGUUGCGCCCAAAGCCGUCAGGCCGAGGGCACGUCUGCCUGGGCGUCACG